rnacentral:rRNA from 1 species
GAUGAACGCUAGCUACAGGCUUAACACAUGCAAGUCGAGGGGUAACGAGAGGAAAGCUUGCUUUCCUUGUCGACGACCGGCGCACGGGUGAGUAACGCGUAUCCAACCUGCCCCCAACUAGGGAAUAACCUUGCGAAAGUAAGACUAAUACCCUAUAAUUUCCUCAGAUGUCAUCUGACGAGGAAUAAAGAUUUAUCGGUUGUGGAUGGGGAUGCGUCUGAUUAGCUUGUUGGCGGGGUAACGGCCCACCAAGGCAACGAUCAGUAGGGGUUCUGGGAGGAAGGUCCCCCACAUUGGAACUGAGACACGGUCCAAACUCCUACGGGAGGCAGCAGUGAGGAAUAUUGGUCGAUGGGCGGAAGCCUGAACCAGCCAAGUAGCGUGCAGGAUGACGGCCCUAUGGGUUGUAAACUGCUUUUAUACAGGAAUAAAGUGGGUUACGUGUAACCUUUUGAAAGUAUCGUACGAAUAAGGAUCGGCUAACUCCGUGCCAGCCGCCGCCGUAA